ACGUUGAUUGAAAGAGUAUUCAAAUUGUUUGCUAUAUUGAUGUUAAUAGUUUUUCCUCUCGCUUUGGUGUUCUGUUUCCGGGUUGUAAAACAAUAUAAAAGGGCGGUUAUUUUACGCUUUGGUAGAGUAAGAGAUGACUCUCCAGCCGGUCCCGGUAUAAUUUGGGUCGUACCAUGCACCGACAACGUUGUCUUUAUAGAUAUGAGAACUCAAUCUUUUAACUUGGCUCCACAGGAAAUCUUAACAAAAGACUUGGUGACAGUUCACGUUGAUGCUGUUGUAUACUUUCACGUCAUGAAUCCACUUUGCAGCCUGCUUAACGUCCAAUCCCACAAAAAAGCUACUGAACUUCUCUCUGUGGCACUUUUAAGAAAUAUUUUAGGGCAAUAUACGCUUUCCGAAUUACUUUCGAAUCGAUUUAAAAUAAGUGACGCGCUUCGUAAAGAAAUCGAUAAAGGAACAUUGGAGUGGGGCGUCGAAGUU